GCCGAGCGUGGACCUUACCGUGGCGGAGACGAGGCUGCUGUUCGUCAGGGUGAGGUGGUGAGGCUCCCAUCUCCGCAGGAACUUUGAGAAUUUCUCAGGAAGGCAGCGAGGGCCAUCCCACACUACAGACAACAACAGUCACUGACACUCCCCAAGAAUGUGGCAGCACUUUUUUUCAUCUCUUGACGUCGUAACUGUCUUCAGUCUGAGUCAGGACAGCGAGCGCUAGAUGAGCAACUUGAUAGGAAGUCAAGCUUGUUGAAACUCAGAGCCUUUUCAGUGUGUGGUUGCUGAGACAGAGCCCUCACGUCCCUGCUGGGUACUCUGAUGAUAGGCUAUGCAGUCCCACAGAGCCCAGGCAGAGAAAGAAAAGCAAUCUAAAAUGCUUGGCGUCCUGUAUGUAAUGGCCUUCGUACCUCCUGACUAGCAUCUGACAAAGAAAUGAAUCAUAUGAAGCGAUACAAGCCAUAGUGACUUAACACUUGGUCACCUGACCAAUUGCGGCAACAGGAAGCGGACCACAGGAAGUCUUUUGUUGUAGGUGUGAAGAGACAUGAAAGGUGCCCAUGAGGCAAACCUUAGGUCUGGGGUCAAGCACUGAAAAAAGAAGCACUAUUGAUUGUCUCACUACUGAGAUUAGAAUGGUCUCUACAGGAAGAGGGUAAUUCUAACAUUGCUCUUUUUUCCAUACUACCCCCUCAUUACUCAACCUUACCACUGAAUUGAUGCAUUUACUCUGAACACAUUUAGGUUUCGUUUUUGUGAGACCAAGUAACGAGCCACAAAUUGAAUCACAUGUUACAACAUGAAGUUGAAAGUGAAACAGGCCUCUGUCAUGGCCUGAUCUGAUCAGCCUUUUAAAAAAUCACCUACUAUUUACUUUUUAUUACCAUGUACUACACGGUUACCAACUUUUUCCCAUUUUUUAUUUUCCCAUCUUCAAAAUGGAAAAAAAGUACAGUCAUUAAUUUCUGAGGAGCUUGGAAUGGGACAGUCAAAGAGUAAACUGGAGUUCAAAAAACUAUUACAAGAAAAUGAGUCUCUUGACAAUUUGCUUCAGCUUGCUUCACAUCUGGUAAAAAUCCACAGGUGUUUCUGUUCAUCCUUCUAUCUUGAGAAGACAACAUUAAUGCUAUGAGUCUGAAAUAAUGUGUAGCUGUCAAGACGAAAUCACUGAGAAAAGGAAAUGGACCAAAAAGAAGUAAAACAACUAAUUUAACAAAUAAGCUGCUGGAAUUAUGUGGAUCACCUGGAUAAUAUUAAGUACAAUGUAGCGGUUGGUAUUACUUGGAUCAUGAGAAACAGAAAAUGCUAACAUUCAAGACUGAACCUUGGAGGUGUGGAAAAAUUGAAAGCAAGUCUCCAGAAAAGAAUAGAAGCUGUAAUAAAGGUACAGGGUGGACACACUAAAUACUGAAAAAUGUAUAUUAUAUUCUGAAUAUUUAGUCUCUUCUGUGUAUUUUCCUGUUAAAUACAUAUUUUCCACAUAUAAUAUACAGUAUAUUUCUGUACUUAAUGACAAUUUUGACUGGAAAUUAAAUAAAUGAAUAGUGGUCCAUGACUUUUGCACAUUAGUGUGUGUUGGAAUACAAUCUUGAAAUCUUAGAAGUCUUAGAAGCAGCAGCAACAACAACAAAAACAAUAAUCAUCAUCAUCAGGCAAAAAUACAGACAUUAAUUCCAAUUCCUUUGAUUUUACAUACAAAUACAAACCCAAUCCCAAAAUGUUAAUGACCAAAUAAAAAUACAAAGCAGUGAUUUAUAAAUCUACUUUGAUCUGUAUUUGAACAAAAACAGUACAAA